UACGAAGGGGGCUAGCGUUGUUCGGAUUUACUGGGCGUAAAGCGCACGUAGGCGGGUCGGUAAGUCAGGGGUGAAAUCCUGGAGCUCAACUCCAGAACUGCCUUUGAUACUGAGGAUCUCGAGUUCGGGAGAGGUGAGUGGAACUGCGAGUGUAGAGGUGAAAUUCGUAGAUAUUCGCAAGAACACCAGUGGCGAAGGCGGCUCACUGGCCCGAUACUGACGCUGAGGCACGAAAGCGUGGGGAGCAAACAGG
rnacentral:rRNA from 1 species